UACACCAAGAGCUGAGCUGACCUGUGAAC
rnacentral:piRNA from 1 species